AAGAGGCGGGAAGGGGUCGCCCUUUACCUGUGCUUUACUCUGAGACAGACAAAGGGGAGGAAGAUGCAGGCUGCUUCGCCUGGGGUGCUGUCGGACUCUUCGCAGCUAAAAUGGAACUCUCUGGAAAUGACCCUGGACCACCGCCAGACCCUGGACCACCACCAUAGGCGUCAUUUAGGUAUGGCAAGGUAUGGCAGCUGCCAUACCUUGGAAUUGGGAGAAAAAAAAUGAGAGGUUCUGUAGUCAUCUUACUUGUGAGUGUCCUUCAUAUUUGUUGCAAGUGAUCAGAUGUGUUAUGUUAGAUAGUCCGAGGCGCACUGGCUGGUUGUUUUCAUUGUAUUGCACUUAAAUAGGUCAAUAAUAUGCUCAUCAGUGAAUACGAGUGUUAUUGAAUCAAAUUGUUCGCCACUUCGCUCCUCCGCGAGUUAUGAGUUAUGUGAGUUAUCUGUGUGUUGUAAAAGCAUUUUGCUCUGCUGCUGUAGACAGCCUGUCUAAAUGAUGUCUUGAAGCCUGUCUGAUUGUAUGUGGGGUUUUUUUCUUCAUGUCGGCAUGUUAAGCUUGUAUUUUCGGUCUCUGGAGACACUCCAAUAAAUUCGCCUAUACAGUAUUGUACCAAAUUGGCCUUUGUUUUACUGUGUUUCAUACACCGGACCCCUUGGUUAUCUUCUAGAAAUGAGCUUGUAAUUAAUUUAUUUUCUUUAUUUUCUGUGAAGUUAAAAUGAAAAUGAAAUGAACUGUUGACCAAAUGUCUUAAUGCUAGGUAAAAGGUUUUUAAAGAAACUUUGAAGAUUCAUGAGUGAAACAAGACAUGUUGACUAAAUGUUUUAAAAUGUUUAAAAAAUAUUUCUUGAAAUAAAUAAUUUUUCA